GACAGAGGUCCCGAGCGUUAGGCGGAAUCACUGGGCUUAAAGCGUGUGUAGGCGGAUUGGUAAGUACCUUGUGAAAUCCCACGGCUUAACCGUGGAACUGCUUGGUAUACUGCUUAUCUUGGGCCACUUAGGGGUUACCGGAACAAACGGUGGAGCGGUGAAAUGCGUAGAUAUCGUUUGGAACGCCGAUGGUGAAAACAGGUAACUGGGAGUGUGCCGACGCUGAGACACGAAAGCCAGGGGAGCGAACGGG
rnacentral:rRNA from 1 species